rnacentral:rRNA from 1 species
ACAAUAAAUAACAAUAUAGGGCUCUUUUGGGUCUUAUAAUUGGAAUGAGUACAAUUUAAAUCCCUUAACGAGGAACAAUUGGAGGGCAAGUCUGGUGC